UUAUGAGAGUUUGAUCCUGGCUCAGGACGAACGCUGGCGGCGUGCCUAAUACAUGCAAGUCGAACGCUUCUUUUUCCACCGGAGCUUGCUCCACCGGAAAAAGAGGAGUGGCGAACGGGUGAGUAACACGUGGGUAACCUGCCCAUCAGAAGGGGAUAACACUUGGAAACAGGUGCUAAUACCGUAUAACAAUCGAAACCGCAUGGUUUUGAUUUGAAAGGCGCUUUCGGGUGUCGCUGAUGGAUGGACCCGCGGUGCAUUAGCUAGUUGGUGAGGUAACGGCUCACCAAGGCCACGAUGCAUAGCCGACCUGAGAGGGUGAUCGGCCACAUUGGGACUGAGACACGGCCCAAACUCCUACGGGAGGCAGCAGUAGGGAAUCUUCGGCAAUGGACGAAAGUCUGACCGAGCAACGCCGCGUGAGUGAAGAAGGUUUUCGGAUCGUAAAACUCUGUUGUUAGAGAAGAACAAGGAUGAGAGUAACUGUUCAUCCCUUGACGGUAUCUAACCAGAAAGCCACGGCUAACUACGUGCCAGCAGCCGCGGUAAUACGUAGGUGGCAAGCGUUGUCCGGAUUUAUUGGGCGUAAAGCGAGCGCAGGCGGAUCGCUAGAAGAAGGAUCAAAACCCAACCGUAAGGUUGAUAAGGUUAAGUGAAUAAGGGCGCAUGAGUGCAGAAGAGGAGAGUGGAAUUCCAUGUGUAGCGGUGAAAUGCGUAGAUAUAUGGAGGAACACCAGUGGCGAAGGCGGCUCUCUGGUCUGUAACUGACGCUGAGGCUCGAAAGCGUGGGGAGCAAACAGGAUUAGAUACCCUGGUAGUCCACGCCGUAAACGAUGAGUGCUAAGUGUUGGAGGGUUUCCGCCCUUCAGUGCUGCAGCUAACGCAUUAAGCACUCCGCCUGGGGAGUACGACCGCAAGGUUGAAACUCAAAGGAAUUGACGGGGGCCCGCACAAGCGGUGGAGCAUGUGGUUUAAUUCGAAGCAACGCGAAGAACCUUACCAGGUCUUGACAUCCUUUGACCACCGAAAUGUGGAAGACACCUAGGAGGAUCCUGAGUACGGGUGGUGCAUGGUUGUCGUCAGCUCGUGUCGUGAGAUGUUGGGUUAAGUCCCGCAACGAGCGCAACCCUUAUUGUUAGUUGCCAUCAUUCAGUUGGGCACUCUAGCAAGACUGCCGGUGACAAACCGGAGGAAGGUGGGGAUGACGUCAAAUCAUCAUGCCCCUUAUGACCUGGGCUACACACGUGCUACAAUGGGAAGUACAACGAGUUGCGAAGUCGCGAGGCUAAGCUAAUCUCUUAAAGCUUCUCUCAGUUCGGAUUGCAGGCUGCAACUCGCCUGCAUGAAGCCGGAAUCGCUAGUAAUCGCGGAUCAGCACGCCGCGGUGAAUACGUUCCCGGGCCUUGUACACACCGCCCGUCACACCACGAGAGUUUGUAACACCCGAAGUCGGUGAGGUAACCUUUUUGGAGCCAGCCGCCUAAGGUGGGAUAGAUGAUUGGGGUGAAGUCGUAACAAGGUAGCCGUAUCGGAAGGUGCGGCUGGAUCACCUCCUUU
rnacentral:rRNA from 1 species